AUUAUCUAUUAACGUGGAUUUGGACGAUAAUAGGUUUUUAGUUUGUGAUGUUUCAUGUGAUGAUCAUUUUCAUGUUCAUCGUCUUUGAAUUGACAUGAGGAUAUCUAUGGAAAAGUAACUAAUCUGAAAGUAAGCCAACAUAUCGUUUGUCCUUUGUGUGCUAAAGAAAAGAUUUUCUUUUCGCAUCAUGAGGAAGUAUUACAUCAAUUAAAAAAUGUUAGGAAGUUGAUUACUUGUCAUGGAAAAGUAUACCAAUGGAAAUUAUUUGUUAAAGAAGUAUAAUUCUAAGGGUUUUAAGAAUAAAUUGGUUGAACCCAAAAUCUGGAGGAAGUACCUAUAUCCAUACACAGAAUAUGCCCAUUAAAAAUACUAGUCCAAAUUUGCUUUAAUGGUAGACAAUUAUUCAAUACAAAUUAACUUUUUAAGUGACUGAAAUAUUAAAUAGUUUAGAAUAUGGUAUAACAAUGUAAAAAAAUAUUAUUUUCAGGAACGAUUAGGGCCCGAUAUAUUUGAAACUCAUGUUGGACAUAGUAUUGAGUUGGGUAGAAUAUUAUUCUACGUUAAGUGAGGGUAUCAGAUACCUAUUAUUGUACUGUAUUUUAAUAUAUACAUUAGAAUUGUUGGUUUUUU
rnacentral:lncRNA from 1 species